CCCUUAGAUGUUCUGGGCCGCACGCGCGCUACACUGACGAUGGCAACGAGUUUUUCCUUCGCCGAAAGGUGUGGGUAAUCUUUUGAAACAUCGUCGUGCUGGGGAUAGAUCAUUGCAAUUUUUGAUCUUGAACGAGGAAUUCUUAGUAAGCGCGAGUCAUCAGCUCGCGUUGAUUACGUCCCUGCCCUUUGUACACACCGCCCGUCGCUACUACCGAUUGAAUGGUUUAGUGAGGACUCCUGAUUGGCGCCGCCGCCCCGGCAACGGAGCAGCGGACUGCCGAAAAGUUGUUCAAACUUGAUCAUUUAGAGGAAGUAAAAGUCGUAACA
rnacentral:rRNA from 1 species